rnacentral:rRNA from 1 species
AUUGAACGCUGGCGGCAUGCUUUGCACAUGCAAGUCGAACGGUAACAGGGUGCUUGCACCGCUGACGAGUGGCGAACGGGUGAGUAAUGCGUCGGAACGUGCCGAGUAGUGGGGGAUAACGCAGCGAAAGUUGUGCUAAUACCGCAUACGUACUGAGGUAGAAAGUGGGGGACCUUCGGGCCUCACGCUAUUCGAGCGGCCGACGUCUGAUUAGCUAGUAGGUGAGGUAAAGGCUCACCUAGGCGACGAUCAGUAGCGGGUCUGAGAGGAUGAUCCGCCACACUGGGACUGAGACACGGCCCAGACUCCUACGGGAGGCAGCAGUGGGGAAUUUUGGACAAUGGGCGAAAGCCUGAUUCAGCCAUGCCGCGUGUCUGAAGAAGGCCUUCGGGUUGUAAAGGACUUUUGUCAGGGAGGAAAUCCCUAGUGCUAAUACCGCUGGGGGAUGACAGUACCUGAAGAAUAAGCACCGGCUAACUACGUGCCAGCCGCCGCCGUAAGAC